UACAGGGGGUGCGAGCGUUAAUCGGAAUUACUGGGUGUAAAGGGCGCGUAGGCGGCAUGACAUGUGUGGUGUGAAAGCCCCGGGCUUAACCUGGGAAGUGCACCGCAAACUGUCAGGCUAGAGUACAUGAGAGGGUGGCGGAAUUUCCGGUGUAGCGGUGAAAUGCGUAGAGAUCGGAAGGAACGUCAAUGGCGAAGGCAGCCACCUGGCAUGAUACUGACGCUGAGGCGCGAAAGCGUGGGGAGCGAACAGG
rnacentral:rRNA from 1 species